rnacentral:lncRNA from 7 species
AUACACAAAACUAGGCCCAAGAAUGAUAAGCUACCAGGGAGAAGACUUCAGGCUUCACAAACUUUGCUUUAUUCUUAUUUUUGUUCCACUACACAUAUUUUUUCCUCUAGUGCUGAUCCUAUGGGGACUUGAAACUUCCAUGGCUUUACAUCAUUACAGAAAAACUGUAAUGGAAACACAGUGCCUGAAGUACCAGACAACCCUGGAGCUACAGGAAGAUAAACGCUAGAACUGGCCAAUUAAAAGGGAAGACCAUACAGAAGAGAAGUGCACAUGCUUGCUCUCCUGACCCGAAACAUCCUGGCAGGCAGUCUGAAGAAAGAAGGAAUGGAAGGCAUCAGUAAGACUCAGUAUGUUGGAGCUCGGCAGCCAAGUUACUGGGCCAUAAAGCAUUACAGUUAAGCUGCUACCUGUGUGACUCUAAGACUUUUUGAAUGUUUGUCAAGUUUCACUGCAGCUGGAUGAAGGAGGUCAGUUUCACAUGUAAAUGUACUGCUGCUUUAGACUUCAUGCAGUCUUGUGCAGAGCAAAGACCCACAACCCAGGAGUGGGGCCGCAAGGAAGGAAUAGGUGUUGAAGAGUGACUGUCAAGCACUCCAUGAGAAGCAGUCAACUGAGUCAUCUAGCAGCAGAGAGGACUAUAAAGAAAGGCUUUAUACAAAAGUACAAUUACCCAAACAUCCAUCCAGCAGAGAAGGCCUUGUGGCCCAUUCUUGUUAAUUUACUGCUGCCAAAUUGUUCUGCCAUCUGAAUCCCCAUCUGAAUGAACACUGGGUGCACUGCAGUGUGUGUUUUGACUGAUGUCACUCAACAGCUCUCCCACACACAUACUGUCACAGGAGAGAGAAAAAGUGUUUUGUGUUUCUCACAAAUUCUGCAAUUCUAAUCCAGGGGAGAGCACACCAACAGUUCAUUAUAUGAACAUAUAAUCUCUUUUCCAUCCCACUCCCUCUGUUCUGAGCCAGGAUCAGUAUUUGGAGGCCUGAGAACAUGUAAGAGGAAGGUGGAAUAUGAAUCACUGUCAUUCAAAACUGGCAGAAAAAGUGAGAGGUGGUGGAAGAUAAAGGAAUCUGAGAAGCAAAUCACCUGAAAAACAAGCAAGCAAAGAAACAAACAAUGCUUUCUUCCGUGAGCAUCACCAUACCUCUGGCUUUUUGUCCCUUCAUCCACACUGUCUCCACAAUAAAAAGGCUUUGAC